rnacentral:rRNA from 1 species
UACGAAGGGUGCUAGCGUUGUUCGGAAUUACUGGGCGUAAAGCGCACGUAGGCGGAUCCUUAAGUCGGAGGUGAAAUCCCGGAGCUCAACUCCGGAACUGCCUUCGAUACUGGGGAUCUUGAGGUCGAGAGAGGUGAGUGGAAUUCCGAGUGUAGAGGUGAAAUUCGUAGAUAUUCGGAGGAACACCAGUGGCGAAGGCGGCUCACUGGCUCGAUACUGACGCUGAGGUGCGAAAGCGUGGGGAGCAAACAGG